UACGUAGGUGGCAAGCGUUACUCGGAAUCACUAGGCGUAAAGCGCAGGUAGGCGGUUUGAUAAGUCUGUUGUGAAAGCUCCCGGCUCAACUGGGAGAGGUCAACGGAAACUGUCAGGCUAGAGUGUGGUAGAGGUAGCUGGAAUUCCCGGUGUAGCGGUGAAAUGCGUAGAUAUCGGGUGGAACACCAGUGGCGAAGGCGGUGUUCUGGGCCGGAACUGACGCUGAGGAGCGAAAGCGUGGGUAGCAAACAGG
rnacentral:rRNA from 1 species